rnacentral:tRNA from 1 species
CCGGGCCGUCCGGGGGCUUCCUCCCGGGCGGGGUCCGGUCCCGUCCUGUACGUCCCGGAGGGGUGCGGGCGUGCCGCGGCGCCCGCCCUGGUCC